rnacentral:lncRNA from 1 species
UCUCUUUCCUUCCUCCCUCUUCCUUUCCCCUUUCCCCCAUUUUCUUCUCUUCCCGCUGGCAGCCCACUCUUCCCCGCCGCCUGCACGCCGUCGCCAGCGCCUUCCUCCCUUCCCGCCGCUCUGCAGCAGCUCCCCUUCCCCUUUCCUCCUUUCCGUCGGCGUUGUCAAGAACAAGGGGGGGCUGCCUUCGCCGUUCGCCCUCUUGCCGGCGUGUUUUCGGCGAUCUGGCAUCGGAAACGAGUUCCUCACCCCCAAAAACCCCGGAAGC